UACGUAGGGUGCAAGCGUUGUCCGGAAUUAUUGGGCGUAAAGAGCUCGUAGGCGGUUUGUUGCGUCGGCUGUGGAAAUCCCGAGGCUCAACCUCGGGUCUGCAGUCGAUACGAGCAAACUAGAGUGUUGCAGGGGAGACUGGAAUUCCUGGUGUAGCGGUGAAAUGCGCAGAUAUCAGGAGGAACACCGGUGGCGAAGGCGGGUCUCUGGGGC
rnacentral:rRNA from 1 species